GAUGAACGCUGGCGGCGUGCCUAAUACAUGCAAGUCGAGCGAACGGACGAGAAGCUUGCUUUUCUGAUGUUAGCGGCGGACGGGUGAGUAACACGUGGAUAACCUACCUAUAAGACUGGGAUAACUUCGGGAAACCGGAGCUAAUACCGGAUAAUAUUUUGAACCGCAUGGUUCAAAAGUGAAAGACGGUCUUGCUGUCACUUAUAGAUGGAUCCGCGCUGCAUUAGCUAGUUGGUAAGGUAACGGCUUACCAAGGCAACGAUGCAUAGCCGACCUGAGAGGGUGAUCGGCCACACUGGAACUGAGACACGGUCCAGACUCCUACGGGAGGCAGCAGUAGGGAAUCUUCCGCAAUGGGCGAAAGCCUGACGGAGCAACGCCGCGUGAGUGAUGAAGGUCUUCGGAUCGUAAAGCUCUGUUAUUAGGGAAGAACAUACGUGUAAGUAACUGUGCACAUCUUGACGGUACCUAAUCAGAAAGCCACGGCUAACUACGUG
rnacentral:rRNA from 1 species